CUCUGACUGAUUUUUAGAGCCUACUGAACUUUAUUUUGCACAAUGCCGAAAGUAUUGGAAUACCUUACAAAUAGAACAUUCAUGUUUGAAUUUAAAUUGGUAACAGGUGCAUGAAUCCCAAGCUUCCAGCAAUUUUGUUAACUAAUUGGAAAGAGACUUACCAUUGGCAUUAGUCCUCACUCUGGCCUUCUGAAUUAGCCCUUCCCUUGGUGUCAGUCACAGAUGUGAAUAAUCUGCAAUACUGAAGUUUUAAAGAAAGGUCAUGAGAAUGUUUGAUCAGGGAAGGGACUAGAAACAACAAGAAGCAUCAUGAAGCAAUAUGAAGUACUGCCAGUCUGGAUGAAUCACAGAAGCAGACAAAGAACACUGAUGUUUGUCCACCUGUCUUCCCAAGAGAUUUGCACAUUUUUUCAAAGGCAACAUUGAUGGAAUCUUUCCAGGAGCCAAGAGUGAUGUUUGUGGAUGGUCUAGGUUUCUCAGGCGUACAAUAGUUGAAAGGACAAUUGCUUUAUAAACAACCAUCUUCAUAUCCCUACAAAUGUCCCAAUCCUCUAACACUCUGCUUCAUUUAAAAAAAAUGCUGUGUUCACAGUGCUCAGGUUGUGUUGUAUUUCGUCAUCAAUAUUGACUUUUGUGGAAAAGUGGCUACCCAGGAAUAACUAGUUACAGAUCCUGUACUAUAUAGCUGAAGGCUAUCUGUCCACUAAAUAAGUAGCAGCUAUAUAAAACUAGAUCUGUUAGGAGCUGCCAGCAAUGGAGUAAGUGAAACAAUUAAAUUGAAUCAGGAAACAUACAGUGUGCGGGGAAAAUAACAUGAUGUUUGCAAUGCACAGCAAUAAUUUUUUAAAUGAAUACAGUAAAAUUUAAAUUUUAAAUUAAUCAGUUAACUUUAGUUUAAAUAAAAUAAAAUAGAAAAUGAAAAUAAAAAACAAUUCUUUAUUUUUUUAAAGAAAGUUCCACAAAUCUAAAUGUAUCCCUUGAUCCUACCACAGCUGGCUGUCCUUGGUCAACAUCUUUGGUUUGCACCCACAUAUGUGUUUGGAUCUUUGUGUAUACAUAUCCUCUUUCAUGCCUAAAUGGUAUUUCAGCCACAGCUGUUUAUCACCCAUCUGUUCUUGAUGCAUAAUUUGCUUUUGUGUUAAUGUCCAUAGACAGCUAAAUUUAUGAUUAGACUUUGUUUCUCAAUAACAUAUUGUUUCUGUUUGGAUUAGACUGUGUUUUUCAGAUGUCUGCUUA
rnacentral:lncRNA from 1 species